UCGUAACGUUUGGUUAACGUAUGGACUCCAAAAUUAAUACCAGUAAACUCGUAAUUAAGAGGAUUAAUGAUUUCGCUUCAUGAAUCAUAUCCUAACCAUCCGAAACCAAGGUGAAUAAUAAGAAAUUUGUUUACCAUGGAAGCUCUUUGAAGAACGAUUUGGGAUUUUCUUCAACUCGUAGAAUUGACCUGCAAAUCUUAUACCAUUUUAAUCCUCUGUAAAAACCAUACAAAACCCCACUGAAAUUUCUCCAUUUCAUCACCUCUGCGUCAUGAAUUUAAUCGAAGAACAUUCUAGGGCUUGUAACUUGUGCGGACGAUAUCUCCUUCAAUUCUCAACCUUUUCAGAUAUAAACCGUUCCUUUUUGUGCGAUGCAUUCUCGUGGAUUAACUCUUCGCAACCUGUUUUCAAAGUUGAUGUUCAAGUGAUGUGGACACAUAGCAUGGGCCUUAGGAAAAUAAAUUGAAAUCUUGAUAUGUUUGUAUUGAACAAUGUAUGAACAAUUUUGAUUAUUAUAUGAUAUGUGACUAUUUAAAUGGAUAUGCUUUAAAUCUUGAAACA